GGAAGCGUGUCCGAGUGGCUGAAGGAGCACGAUUGGAAAUCGUGUAUGCGCCCUUAAAGCGUAUCGAGGGUUCGAAUCCCUCCGCUUCCG
rnacentral:tRNA from 1 species